GAUCAUGGCUCAGAGUGAACGCUGGCGGCAGGCCUAACACAUGCAAGUCGAGCGGCAGCGCGUCCGACCACCCGUCGGGUGGUCGGAUGGCGGCGAGCGGCGGACGGGUGAGGAAUGCAUCGGAAUCUGCCUCGUUGUGGGGGAUAACGUAGGGAAACUUACGCUAAUACCGCAUACGACCUACGGGUGAAAGUGGGGGACCUUCGGGCCUCACGCGAUGAGAUGAGCCGAUGCCGGAUUAGCUAGUUGGCGGGGUAAAGGCCCACCAAGGCGACGAUCCGUAGCUGGUCUGAGAGGAUGAUCAGCCACACUGGAACUGAGACACGGUCCAGACUCCUACGGGAGGCAGCAGUGGGGAAUAUUGGACAAUGGGGGCAACCCUGAUCCAGCCAUGCCGCGUGUGUGAAGAAGGCCUUCGGGUUGUAAAGCACUUUUGUUGGGGAAGAAACCGGCCGGGUUAAUACCCUGGUUGAAUGACGGUACCCAAAGAAUAAGCACCGGCUAACUUCGUG
rnacentral:rRNA from 1 species